GCGCCUCGUGAAUUCAUCUCCGGGGGUAGAGCACUGUUUCGGCAAGGGGGUCAUCCCGACUUACCAACCCGAUGCAAACUGCGAAUACCGGAGAAUGUUAUCACGGGAGACACACGGCGGGUGCUAACGUCCGUCGUGAAGAGGGAAACAACCCAGACCGCCAGCUAAGGUCCCAAAGUCAUGGUUAAGUGGGAAACGAUGUGGGAAGGCCCAGACAGCCAGGAUGUUGGCUUAGAAGCAGCCAUCAUUUAAAGAAAGCGUAAUAGCUCACUGGUCGAGUCGGCCUGCGCGGAAGAUGUAACGGGGCUAAACCAUGCACCGAAGCUGCGGCAGCGACGCUGAUGCGUUGUUGGGUA
rnacentral:rRNA from 1 species